UACAGAGGUCCCGAGCGUUGUUCGGAUUCACUGGGCGUAAAGGGUGCGUAGGUGGUGAGGUAAGUCGGAUGUGAAAUCUCCGGGCUCAACCCGGAAACGGCAUUGGAAACUACCUUGCUGGAGGAUUUGAGGGGGGAUUGGAAUACUUGGUGUAGCAGUGAAAUGCGUAGAUAUCAAGUGGAACACCAGUGGCGAAGGCGAAUCCCUGGAAAAUACCUGACACUGAGGCACGAAAGCUAGGGGAGCAAACAGG
rnacentral:rRNA from 1 species